CAUGGAUUUCAUAUAACUCACCCAACUAUCAUCAAAUAUGUUCCCUCACAACAAGAUAGUUACCCAUAAUUACUCACACAAAAGUAAUUUAUCACAGAAUGGAUACAAGAAUCAAAUUGUGCUCACUCUCACAAAGAAUUCACAAGUUACAAAUGAUGAACCAUAUGUUUUCCCUUAGUGUAGUACUUAACUAAUAUCAGAAUGCUAAAGCUUAGGAUCAAAUAG
rnacentral:lncRNA from 1 species